UAAAACAAACAAAGCGAGGCCAAAAAAUUCCCUGAUCUUGAACUCGUCCAAAACUACCCCCUUUUUUGUUGGGACGUUCUAUAGGGAAAAGCGGAUGGUUACGGUCCUAAAGGAGGCAAAAGCAGAUUUGCAUAUCCGCAUAGGGAUCUCCCAGGAUUGAAAACGUAAUUUUAAUUACUUACCCAUAUUCUAAGGGGUCCAAAUGAUUUUCAAACAGAUACGGGCAUUCAAUAUUAUGACACGAUAACUCGACUACAAUACAAAGACUAGCUAUUCUAAUUGCUAGCUAUUCUAAAUCACAUUCAAUGGAGAAGAGAAUGUGCAAUUUACCUAGUGCUGGGACACUUCUGUCAUCAUACAUCCCGCGGAGGGGAACGUCCAUAUUAGUAUACCAGGGUGAUCGGCUUUUACUGUUUUAAGGUACAGUUGUCCUGACAUUUGGUCAGCGUACUUAAAGAAAUCCCCUGGAAAUGUCGACCCCGCUACUGCUCCAUCUCCGACUGCCGCAACCACUCGGGCAUUCAUCGGGUUCUCGUCGGUACUGACACGAAGCUCGGACGAAUCAUCAGACGCUAUUGCAAAUCUAAAAACUCCAGUUUUAUCCGCAUGAAUGUAGCCAAUAAUCCAUUGGGCGUAAUUCUGCUCGGAAUUCAUCUUGAUAAGCGAUGUGUUGCUUAGAGAGUGCACAUCCGAGGCAAAGUAAGGAAAAUAUGGGUGUCCUAGAAUUGACAUGACAUCCGAACCAAGAAUAUCUUUCCAUACAAAUCUGUUUAGUUUGUCAGUUUGCACGGGGAGUUUUUUCAGCACUGUCUGGUUAUCCGCGCAGAGAUUCCCCCAGUUGAUGGGCUGCAUGAAGUCAUCGCCAGUGGCCAUUGCAGCUAGCCUCUCUAAUCGAUGGCUUCCGGUUAAAGGUAGAAGCUGGAACUGUAUAUACACAAGAGCUAGACAGCAACCAAAUACAAGCCUUAGGUAGCACUUGCAGCGCCUUUUUCUCAUCAUGGUGAAAGUUCCACGAUCUGAUGAGAGCUGGCGCAGACAAUAUUGAACUUGUGAAGUGUGAAACAACUGCAAAGCACUUAAGAAUUCCUUGCAAAGAUAUCAUUGUGCGAGCGUGUGAAAACACUAAUCUUCUCACCAAUAACGAAGCUGUUGCUAAGACGAUGAGUCCCAUCCAUGCGGCGAAUAUUUCAUAUAAACAAAUGAAGAUUUUUUCCUCUUGAAUAUUUUAUGAUUUAAAAACGAUAUUAAGCUAUUCAGCUCGUUAUCACUCGUUACAAUUGGAUUGGCAAUUUUAACGAAAAUAAGGAGAAAUAAGAUGAAAUAAAAAAAUAAAAUACGACCAUUCUUCUCAAAUUGACCGUAAAACUUGUAUCAAUCUGGAAUUGUCUGUGAAUGAUUGUAGAUCCCUGGUUUGUGCGCUGAAGUAUUCUUAUUUGAUUAUUACUGAGUCCAUCCAAGAUUUUAAAGUUUUGUUAUUGUUAUUAUACUCUAGGAUCUAGAGAAUAGGAUGAUGUUUCGCGCUUACUGCAUGUAUAUUACCAGGGCGUAGAAAGGAAACAACUUAAACAUUAUUUUUAGCACUUGUUAUUCCAACAAUGGUUAAUAAUAUGGCCAUGAAUAGGUGCACUUACUAUAAAUAGCACGGCGGAAACAAAUCACUAAUACCGCUUUGAUAAAGAAUUGAAGUUCGUCAUCAAAAAUAACAGAUAAAUAGGUUGAAUU